UUCAGUGCUAUGUUUGCCUCAAACCUUCCUGAACCUACUAAACUGGACACCACCAGACUCAUGCUGAGUAGUUCUCAUAAACGCUGCCAUACUUUUGGACUGGAAAACAGAGACGCAGCUUCGGAAAUGCAUUCAAACUUUUCUCAUCUUUCAGUGGAAUUUCUAAUUGGAUUUCAGACCAGAAAAUCAUCACAGUUCCGUCUGGACAGAACGUCACUCUGACAUGUCGAGCUCCAAGCAACAACAUCAUAGUUGUAGAGUGGAGCAGAGCUGACCUGGGAAAAGAAUAUGUCCUUAUGUAUCGAGAUGAGCUUUUUGUUCCUGAUGAGCAGCAUCCAUCUUUUAAGAACCGGGUGGAUCUGCAGGACAGACAGAUGAAGGAUGGAGACGUGUCUCUGAUUCUGAAGAAUGUGAUGAUUAGUGAUACUGGAACAUACGAGUGUCGCGUCUUCAGAAAAACAAACCGCAGGAAGAGAGCUCAUCUGAAGACUCCCCCCAUCAGCAUUAUCACACUGAGUGUUGUUGAUCCUCCAGGUCAGACAGGAGGAAGAAGAGAGGGUGGAGACAAUGGAGGGCAUCCUGGACUUGUAGCAAGUCCGUCCUUUUUGGUGCUGCUUUUGUUGUUGUUGGGAGUUGUAUUGAUUUUAUGAUCAAUAGAAGAACAAAAAGAAAACAUCAAGAAAAAAAGUUUAAGAAAAAUCAGGUCAAAAUUCAUAGCAUUAUAUUUAGUCACAAGAAAUUUCACUAAAUAUUCAGUUCAAAAGAAAUUUUGGGUGAUUUCAAGGAAAACAUGUCAUCCACUGAAAAUAACUGGAAACGUUAGUGAUGGAAAAUAUGUUAAAAUGAUCUAAUCUUAAGACAACUGCAAAAAAGAAACUUCAAAGAUCAACACAUCAGAUUUAACCAGCUUGUUUAAACAGUCUGAUCACAUAUGUGACAGAUGGAUUUCAGCCUGAGAUUAGUCAUUAAGUAACAUCUCACAUCAUCACUCAUCUCAGAGAUCAUUGCAUCGUUUUCAUUGCAGUGAGUGAGUCAGCUGUUUGUAAAAUCAAACUUGUUCUGUGACGUUCGAACAACACAAACUGAUCCUCGUGUAGAGAUCAGCUGUUAUAGUAUAAUUACACACAUGUACUGAAACAAGUGAAGAAAAUGAAGACAAAAACGCUGUCUGUGAUGACAUCAGUGUAGCUGGAGUGUUCUGUAUUAUGAAGCCAAUGAGAGAAGUACGUUCGACUUAACUCCAAAGGGAGCUCAUAUCAUUUUAAUUUAACUUUCAAGAGCUUUUCACAUAUUGUUGAUUCAUCUCCUUUAAUAUAAUAAAAUGCUUCAUCAUUAAAAGUUCCCCAUUGUGUGAGUCUGUCUGUUCAUUGCUAAUAAAGUUUUGCGUAAUAUUUUUAUUGUCACGGUCCUGUGUCGGUGACCCAGUGUUUUGAGUUUUACUUUUGAUUUUAUCAUGGAUUAUGACUGCUUGUGUUUUGGUUUCUGUCCUAAGUAUUUCCAGCUCCCUAGUUCUUUAGUACUUCCUGAGUUCCAAUUCUUAGGUUUUGUUAUUUGGUUUCCUGGUGUUAACUCUGUCCCCUUCUGUCCCACAUUUCAGGUCUCUAUGUUCUGUCUCCCCAGUCUCUGUUAAGUUUAUGUGUCUAGAGUUCAGUCGGUGUGUUUCCUGUUUUACUUUGAAGGUCUGUGUCUCAUGUCAGUGUUUCUAGUUUUGCUUCCCUUUGGUCUCGUCAUGUCUGAUUCCUUCCAGCUGUGCUCUCCUCCUGUGUCUCAUUCCCCUCGUUAUUCCCCAGUGUAUUUAAGCCCUGUGUUUCUCUGUGUCAGUGUUGCGUCAUCCCUCAUGCUGUGUGAUCCCUGGUGUUUCUCUCUGUGGAGUUUUAGGUUUAGUUUUCCCAGUCUAGUUUAGUUCUGCGUCAUUUCCCUGAGUCUGUUAAUAAAGCUGCAUUUUCCUGAGUUCA